CAAUGGGCGCAAGCCUGAUCCAGCCAUGCCGCGUGCAGGAAGACGGUCCUAUGGAUUGUAAACUGCUUUUAUACAGGAAGAAACACCUCUCACGUGUAGAGACUUGACGGUACUGUAAGAAUAAGGAUCGGCUAACUCCGUGCCAGCAGCCGCGGUAAUACGA
rnacentral:rRNA from 1 species